rnacentral:rRNA from 1 species
UACGGGGGGGGCAAGCGUUGUUCGGAAUUACUGGGCGUAAAGCGCGUGUAGGCGGUUGUUCAAGUCGGGUGUGAAAGCCUUGAGCUCAACUCAAGAAAUGCACUCGAUACUGGAUGACUUGAGGACCGGAGAGGAUAGUGGAAUUCCCAGUGUAGUGGUGAAAUACGUAGAGAUUGGGAAGAACACCAGUGGCGAAGGCGGCUAUCUGGACGGUUUCUGACGCUAAGACGCGAAAGCGUGGGGAGCAAACAGG